CAAGAAAUGACUGGCGUUCAUGAUUCCAAUGCUUAGACUGAUAUGAAAAGCAGGCUGAUACUGCGCGACGAUUAUGGAGGAGCGCGGAUGACCACAAAACCUCAGCAGAACAGUGGUACGACAAUGAAAACUACAUCAUCGCGGCAGACCACUUGAAAUGAUAACGUCUCUUUUCUGCCUUAUUUUUACGUGGUAUACUGGAGCGCUAUGCGGGCCGUUACCAGAGCCGUAAAAAAACCUUUUUCAGUAUUUCCGUUGUUAUCUUAUCUUUAUGAGUGUCGAAUUUAUCGCUGGACCUGUUGAGAUCUCUUUACGUACACUGUAAUCAGACUGCCCACACCGUUUAACUUAUCUUAUACAAAUAGUCAUUCCUACACCGAAAACUGCAGAUUAUAUAUUCAGAGUAUUUUUAAUGGUUAUAUUUAGCGAAAAAAACUGCACGCACUACAGACUCAUGUCGACGUAAAAUUUUGUCUUAUUUAGUAUCUAUUAAAAAAGAAGUGCAAGGCCUUGGGUUUUGAAAAUACAGACAUUCGACUCGGUCGUUUCAUAGUCCACUCCCAACUAAGCGUUUGCAGCUUGUAAAUUUAUGUGAGUAUUACUUGCUUUACCAAUGAAGGAAAACUGCAUACCUGAGAAGUUCUCCAUAAGAAUUUCGAAGGUAUGUGAAGUUUACUCGGACUAAGCCAGCGCAGUGGACUAAGGCCUAGACCCUCUAAGUAGUAGAUGUUUAUGCCUAACAGUUGGAUAGUAUGAAAUUCAAGGCUGAUUACUUAUUAAUAUAUUAAAGACUAUUCAUUAAAUAAAAUCGGAUUCCUACAGUAUGGAAGCAGUAACGCCAAGUUGGUUAGAGUUUGAGUGGUCCAGAAGAUUUGUAAUUACUACAGACCGAAUUAUAUGCAACUUAAAAACGAAAUGUGGAUUAUAAAUGCCUAAAAUACGCAAGAAUAACUUCAUAA